rnacentral:lncRNA from 1 species
CUGGAGUGCAAAAACACCUAAGGCCUUCCUGGAGAAAGCUCUAUGGAGUAGAAGCACUGUAGAUGAGUGAUAUUUCUUCAACCAUCUGCUCCUUCCGCACUCACACGAGGGCAGGCCAGCUCCAUGUGAGUGCAGUGAUAGCAGAACCCGGAGCAAGGGCCAUCUAUAUGAGAAUCUUAUCCUUCAAGCUGUAAUCAGAGCGUUCCAGGAGAGAUGUGGAUGCUGUACCUUUGAUUUAAGCCUUCUGACAAGCCUUGGAUGCUCCUCCCUUGCCUCUCAUGUGGAUUCCUAACAGGCAGCCCAUAGCCACCUAGCAAUCUACAAUGUAAAAUUAUCACCAUCUACUACUCCAAUAGCCAAAGGCCCAGUGGGAAGCUGCCCUGCGGACCUUGGGAUUUUUCUAUUCCUAGUCAAGGGAGAAACAAAUACCACCACCCAGCACACCUCCCAGGCUGCGUGCUUUGCUAUAUGGUGUAUGAUUUCACAAGAGCCUUCCAUAAGCUGUACGGAGCAGUGACACCUUUAACAACCAUAAAGACUGCCGGGGCACCAGCAGCAUUUAGGUGGCUGUAAAUGAUGCACACCACCACGAGAAACGUUUCUUUCCCUGAGGCACCAGAUGGCAGCAUUUUUCCUCUCUGAAAGUGUGAUCCCUUCUCAGAUUCACUUUCUGGGACCACCACAUAGGGCUGCGCGGCUGCGGAGGCCACAAAGGCCUCAACUGAACCGGACCUUCUCUGUCAUCGCCUGCUUUGUGGGAACCCUUCAGUCACACAUCCCUAAACCCUACGUUUUCCCCUCACUCUCAUGUCCUUGCUCAUAAAUGCAGUGCUGCUUUACCACUGCUUUUUGUCACAGGAAAAGAAAAGAGAGAAAAUCAUCCAUGUCAGCUGCAGCAAGCUCUGUUCCUAAGGCACUCACCUUUGGCCUGCAGCGCUAUGGGACAAAUGUGUUUGCACGAGUUGUAUGACUUACGGCUUCGGUGGACAGCAGAAGAAAGGCUGUUUAUGCACAAAAGGGAUGGGUUGGCCCUGGGGGCUGAGGGAGGAGCAGCUCUGGCUUUCUUUUUCUUUUCUUUCUUUCUUUCUUUUUUUUUGCUGUCUGCUUUACUCUGUGGUGAUGUGGUGUAUCUGCUGUGGUUAGUUGCUGUGUCACUGCUUUACAGAUGCUAUGAGCUCACCAGUGGACAAUUUGUGGGUUCUUUAACUUCUGACGAGCAGCCAGUUGUUUUUCUAAAGAGCAUGUGACGAGGGAUUUUCUAAUUUUUCAGCUUUCAGCCAAAUUCAGUGGGAGUGCCAUAGGACAGGGAAGUGGUGGUGGACCCUUCUCAACUCCACCCUUCUUACUUAAUACCAAAAACUUAUCUAUAAACAGGCAAGAGGGAGGGAAGAGCGUUCCUCAAAGCGAGCCAAAAGAAUCCUGUACAAUGACAACGUUAAACUGAGAUUUGUGGAAAACAGUGCUAUUUUCUUUGGUUAAAAAUAUUCUAAUGAAAAAAAGCCCUCAAUGUUUUUUCGCUUUCUCGUGCCAGUUUCUUUCCAGUUUUGGAUUUGUCUGCCCAUUGGUUUCAGUUACAUCAUGCGAACAAGACGGACUCAGCUUUACUGCCCAAGAUAGGCAAUAUGUGUGCAGUAGAAAUACACUGGAAAUUCACCUGAAAGCUGAGUAGAAUUUCAUCACUUCAAGUCAAUCGUACAGAUAUUAUCUUCCUUUUAAAUAAAGAGGGAUAAUAUUUUUAAAUGCACCUCCACAGCUUAUAAUGAUCAGUGCGAUUCCUUAUGUGCACUUGCUUUACAAAGUGGAAGAAAACACCCAUUUUUUGUCUAAUUAUAGUUCUGGAGUUGCUAACUAGCACCUUCUCUGAGAAACAGUUGCCUGUGAUGAGC